rnacentral:lncRNA from 1 species
GUCACCCCCUCUUCAAAACAAAUCUGUUUCCAUUUAUUCAGCUGGAAGCUGCUUUUUUCUCUUGGUUUUUAAAAGAGUAUUUAAAAAAUGUUUCGAUUUUUACUAAUGAAGCAAUAAUGGCUUGGUUACACUUUCAAUACCAUCCUCCUGAGGGACCAAACGAUAUCUUAAGCCAGAUACUAUGGUUAAAUUCAAACAUACUGAUAGAGGGUAAACCUCUAUUUUUCCCAACUCUCAUCAAAAACGGGAUUAUAUUUGUUAAUGACCUGAUUGAUCCAAAAGGAAGUUUAUAUGAUUUUAAUACUUUCUGUAAGAUCUUUGGGAAAUUAUGUACGCUGUUUGAAUACAAUCAGCUGUGUGCAGCAGUUCCAGUGAGGUGGAAAAAAGGAAUUCAUAAUACAGACCGACUUUUGGUUUGCAGACCUUGCAUUAGAGAGUAUAAAUGGCUUAACAAAUGUAAAAUAAACAAAGCAGUAUAUACACAUGUUUUACAUAGUAGAAAAUUGACAGCCUUUCCACACAAGUUUUGCAAUUUUUGGGAAAAUCAAUUUGAUACUCCUAUUGACUGGAAUAAAGUAUUCAAUCUGAUUUAUAUUACAACUGUUGAUUCCAAACUACGUAUGCUGCAGAUAAAAAUUAUUUAUAAAUAUCUCCCGACUAAGAAAAUGUUAAACAUCUGGGGUAUUGAGGAGUCGGGUUCCUGUCGCUUUUGUAGUGCAGAAGAAGAAGAUCUGUUACACCUAUUCUGGUAUUGUCCUGUAGUAGCACAUUUUUGGGAGACUGUACAUGGAUGGAUAGGUCCCAGCACUAAGAACUUUAGUACAUCUCCUGAUAUAGUUCUGUUGGGUGAUUUGAAGAUGGGUGGCAAUGGGUUGAAUAACAUAGUAAUACUUCUAGCCAAGGCAUUCAUUUUUAGAUCUCAAAAUAUGAAUGAGCUUAAUCCAACUUUAUUUAAGAAAUAUGUUAAACAAUAUUAUAUGUUGGAAGCCAUAAUUGCUGGGGAUGAGAGUGAUAGGGUUACACAAAAAUGGGAAAAUCUUAUUCUCCGGGAAAACUGGAAUUGACUAAGGAGUAAAAAAAAUAUAUAUAUAUA